GGGCUAUUGAAAGUAUUUGAGCCAUCAAGAAUUGGACCAAAAAUAUCACAUCUCAUAUUUGUUGCCGAUCUUCUUCUAACUACGAAAGCUACCGUGCACAAUACCAAUGCCAUCAAACAUUGAUGAUGAACUAUUUACUCUCAAUCCAGUCAAAAUGUAAAUACUGAAAAGUCCUCUGUUUAGCCCAAAGUUGUCCAUCCAUAUUCAACAUCAAAUUUCAGACAUUGUUCCGGUUCGUCAAGCUUGUGGUCUGUUUGUUUAUCUUGGUGUUUCUUUAUCUGGUUUUUACCUAGGAAAUUGGAUUUUGCAUUUUUUGAUUGACAAAACUUAGGAUAAAUUGAAUGGCUGGAAGUGAAAAAUUCUUUCACAGGCAAGUUAGCUCGCAUUACUUCAAUUAGUUUUUGCUGCAACUCUCAAACACAGUGGUCCACAUUGUCUAUUAUUGACUAAAUUCAGAAGAUUUCUAAAGCUUUCUUUCGGGGUCAUGAGAUUGGUGAGUCGUGUUCCUCUUGCCUCAUGGGAGGAGAUCUGUGUUGCUAAAUCAGAGGGAAGUUUGGAUUUGUUUGAUUUGAGAACUCAUCAUGAAUCAUAAAGCUUUCUUUUGUCUAAUAUGUAAGGAAAAGUGAUCCACAAACAGAUCCUCUGUAGCAACUCGGUUCUACUUGAUAACAACCCUCAUCACUAUAGGGGCAAUACUAUCAUAAAAAUAACUUGGUGAAAUUAAAAUUAUGUAAAACUGAAAGGAUCUGAGAAGGAAGCUUUAGACAGGAG
rnacentral:lncRNA from 1 species